AAAACAUUAAUAAUUACUAAUUCUAUCAUAAUAAUUUAAUAUAAAUAAUUAACAAAAAAUCUUGAAUAAAAACCUAAAAAUAAAAAAAUAAUAAAAAAAAUAGAAAAAAUAUAACAUAAUUUAAUAAUAGAAAAUUUAAAUCUUACAACCCAAUUAAUAAAAAAAUAUUUUAUAGAAAAAUUUAAAAGCUCAUCACAUUAAGUUUUUCUAUAAAAUAUUUUUUUAUUGGAAGUUAUAUGCUAGUCGUUUAAUAAUAUAUCUGGUUCUUGAAGAGAAAAAUUUAAUUUUUUAGAUAAAAGGAUUGUAUUAGUUAUUAUUAUGUUCUUUUUGUUUGGAAAAAUUUAAUGGGAUGAGCUUUUAAAUUUUUCUAUAAAAUAUUUUUUUAUUAAUUGGGUUGUAAGAUUUAAAUUUUCUAUUAUUAAAUUAUGUUAUAUUUUUUCUAUUUUUUUUAUUAUUUUUUUAUUUUUAGGGUUUUAUUCAAGAUUUUUUGUUAAUUAUUUAUAUUAAAUUAUUAUGAUAGAAUUAGUAAUUAUUAAUGUUUUUUUAUUUUUAUUUUUUAUAUUAAAAAAAGGAACUCGGCAAAUAUUUUCUUCGCCUGUUUAUUAAAAACAUGUCUUUUUGUUUUUAUUUAAGGUUUGGCCUGCUCACUGAAAUUUUUAAGAGCCGCGGUAUUUUAACCGUGCGAAGGUAGCAUAAUAAUUAGUCUUUUUAUUGGGGACUGGAAUGAAUGGCUGGACGAAAGAGAAUCUGUCUCUUUUUAAUUUAUUGAAUUUUACUUUUAAGUCAAAAGGCUUAAAUGUUUUUAAAAGACGAGAAGACCCUAUAGAGUUUUAUUUAUUUAUUUUUGGCAAGGUUUAGGUAUAUAUUCUUUUAAAUUUUAUAUAAGUUUUGUUGGGGUGAUAGGAAAAUUUAAUUAACUUUUCUUUUAUUUAUACAUUUAUUUAUGGGAGACAGAUCCAUUUUUUAUGAUUUUAAGUUAAAUUACCUUAGGGAUAACAGCGUAAUUUUUCUUUAGAGUUCUUAUCGAAAGAAAAGAUUGCGACCUCGAUGUUGGAUUAAAAUUUAUUUUUGGUGUAGAAGCUAAAACUUUAAGUCUGUUCGACUUUUAAAAUUUUACAUGAUCUGAGUUUAGACCGGCGUGAGCCAGGUUAGUUUCUAUCUUUAGUUAUUUUAAUUUAUUUAGUACGAGAGGACCAAUUAGU
rnacentral:rRNA from 1 species